rnacentral:rRNA from 1 species
AGUGAACGCUGGCGGUAGGCCUAACACAUGCAAGUCGAACGGCAGCACAAUAAGAGCUUGCUCUUACGGGUGGCGAGUGGCGGACGGGUGAGGAAUACAUCGGAAUCUACUUUUUCGUGGGGGAUAACGUAGGGAAACUUACGCUAAUACCGCAUACGACCUACGGGUGAAAGCAGGGGAUCUUCGGACCUUGCGCGAUUGAAUGAGCCGAUGUCGGAUUAGCUAGUUGGCGGGGUAAAGGCCCACCAAGGCGACGAUCCGUAGCUGGUCUGAGAGGAUGAUCAGCCACACUGGAACUGAGACACGGUCCAGACUCCUACGGGAGGCAGCAGUGGGGAAUAUUGGACAAUGGGCGCAAGCCUGAUCCAGCCAUACCGCGUGGGUGAAGAAGGCCUUCGGGUUGUAAAGCCCUUUUGUUGGGAAAGAAAAGCAGCAGGUUAAUACCCCGCUGUUCUGACGGUACCCAAAGAAUAAGCACCGGCUAACUUCGU